AGCUGCUUGGCGCAGUGGAACGCGCGCCGGGCUCAUAACCCGGAGGUCGCCCGAUCGAAACGGGCAGUAGCUA